rnacentral:rRNA from 1 species
UACGUAGGGACCGAGCGUUGUCCGGAAUUAUUGGGCGUAAAGAGCUCGUAGGCGGUCUGUCGCGUCGAUCGUGAAAACUUGGGGCUUAACCCUGAGCUUGCGGUCGAUACGGGCAUGACUGGAGUUCGGCAGGGGAGACUGGAAUUCCUGGUGUAGCGGUGAAAUGCGCAGAUAUCAGGAGGAACACCGGUGGCGAAGGCGGAUCUCUGGGCCUUACCUGACGCUCAGGCGCGAAAGCUAGGGGAGCGAACUGG